rnacentral:rRNA from 2 species
UUGAAGAGUUUGAUCCUGGCUCAGGAUGAACGCUGGCGGCGUGCCUAAUACAUGCAAGUCGAACGAGUUCUCGUUGAUGAUCGGUGCUUGCACCGAGAUUCAACCAUGGAACGAGUGGCGGACGGGUGAGUAAACACGUGGGUAACCCUGCCCUUAAGUGGGGGAUAACAUUUGGAAACAGAUGCUAAUACCGCAUAGAUCCCAAGAACCGCAUGGUUCUUGGCUGAAAGAUGGGCGUAAGCUAUCGCUUUUUGGAUGGACCCGCGGCGUAUUAGCUAGUUGGUGAGGUAAUGGCUCACCAAGGCGAUGAUACGUAGCCGAACUGAGAGGUUGAUCGGCCACAUUGGGACUGAGACACGGCCCAAACUCCUACGGGAGGCAGCAGUAGGGAAUCUUCCACAAUGGACGCAAGUCUGAUGGAGCAACGCCGCGUGAGUGAAGAAGGCUUUCGGGUCGUAAAACUCUGUUGUUGGAGAAGAAUGGUCGGCAGAGUAACUGUUUUCGGCGUGACGGUAUCCAACCAGAAAGCCACGGCUAACUACGUGCCAGCAGCCGCGGUAAUACGUAGGUGGCAAGCGUUAUCCGGAUUUAUUGGGCGUAAAGCGAGCGCAGGCGGUUUUUUAAGUCUGAUGUGAAAGCCCCUCGGCUUAACCGNAGGAAGCGCAUCGGAAACUGGGAAACUUGAGUGCAGAAGAGGAACAGUGGAACUCCAUGUGUAGCCGGUGAAAUGCGUAGAUAUAUGGAAGAACCACCCCAGUGGCGAAGGGCGGCUGUCUGGUCUGUAACCUGACGCUGAGGCUCGAAAGCAUGGGUAGCGAACCAGGAUUAGAUACCCUGGUAGUCCAUGCCGUAAACGAUGAAUGCUAGGUGUUUGGAGGGUUUCCGCCCUUCAGUGCCGCAGCUAACGCAUUAAGCAUUCCGCCUGGGGAGUACGACCGCAAGGUUGAAACUCAAAGGAAUUGACGGGGGCCCGCACAAGCGGUGGAGCAUGUGGUUUAAUUCGAAGCAACGCGAAGAACCUUACCAGGUCUUGACAUCUUUUGAUCACCUGAGAGAUCAGGUUUCCCCUUUCGGGGGCAAAAUGACAGGUGGUGCAUGGUUGUCGUCAGCUCGUGUCGUGAGAUGUUGGGUUAAGUACCCGCAACGAGCGCAACCCUUAUGACUAGUUGCCAGCAUGAAGAUGGGCACUUCUAGUAAGACUGCCGGUGACAAACCGGGAGGAAGGUGGGAGAC